CUUUUUUGCAGUUCUGUACAAUUUUACAAGGAAAUUAUUUCGUUUGUAUAAUUUUAUUUACUAUUAUCGAAAUGAACGGCAAUUGAUAAAACUAGAAUAGUGAAGCGAAUAGUGCGAAUAGUGCGAAUAGUCGACGAAUAGUACGAAUAGUCCACGAAUAGUGCGAAUAGUCCGCGAAUAGUCGACAAAUAGUGCGAAUAGUCCGCGAAUAGUCGACGAAUAGUACGAAUAGUCCGCGAAUAGUCGACGAAUAGUGCAAUAGAGACUUUGCAAGGCUUUGCAGCAGUGCUGUAGAACUAAAUUUACCCGGGGGGGGGGCUCUGUUGACAAACAUGAAAUCGUGAAAACAUUCGUCGACGUACGUCAAUGACGUCAUACGUCUAGUGAUUGUCAUCAGUGGCGCCGUGGCCGGGGGGAGCAGGGGGGGGGGCAUGGCCCUCCCCUAUUGUUGACACCCGUCGUAAAAUUGCCAAUGCUGCCGGAAAUUGCCGGAAAAUUGUCAAGACUGUCGGAAAUUGUCAAAGUUGUCGACGGGGGGGGGGUGAAGAUUUAAAAUGUUGUCGUCUGGAAAACUUUUUGGUUUGUCGGAAAAAUUUUUCGGUUUGUCGGAAAAGUACUGCCCUUGCCCCCCCCCAAAAAAAAACAUGGGUCCCACGGCGCCACUGAUUGUCAUUCUACUUCCUGUUAAAUAUUUGUUAAAACUCAGUGGUCCCGUAAUUUUUACCGAUUACGUAUGACGUCAUUGACAUCAACGAAUGUUUUCACGAUUUCAUGUUUGUCAAUAGAGCCCCACCCCCCGCUUCGGUAAAUUUAGUUCUACAGCACGGUGGAAAGCCUUGCAAAGUCUCUAUUGCACUAUUCGUCGACUAUUCGUACUAUUCGUCGACUAUUCGCGGACUAUUCGCACUAUUCGUCGACUAUUCGCGGACUAUUCGCACUAUUCGUCGACUAUUCGCGGACUAUUCGCACUAUUCGUCGACUAUUCGCGGACUAUUCGCACUAUUCGUCGACUAUUCGCACUAUUCGCUUCACUAUUCUAGUUUUAUCAAUUGCCCGAAAUGAACGACGUAGGUUUCGAAAAGGUUAGAUCGUUAUUUGAAAGUGACGAUAAGGAAUGCUUACUGGUGUUCUGUGGAGAAUAUUUCAAGCAGAUAAAUUCGAUGGAUGCAAGAAAAUUGUCUUGGCCGAAACUAUCUAGCUGAGAUGUGCUGAUUUCUCGAAUUCUCGUCGUCUACUUCAGGAGAUUAUAAAGAGGUGUAUGGCAAUAAGGUAAAGUGGAUUGAAUUUUGAACAAUAAAUCGUUGAAUUGAACGUACGAUUUGCAUAAUUAUGCGAGGUUUAUAGGUCCAAAGUUUUAUAUACUGCAUACAUAUUCAUUAUGUGUAUAAAAUUAAAACACCUCUCAAGUGGCAGAAAUUUGUUCUCAAAUAUUUGAUCAUGUUGGAUAAAAAAUAUUUAUUGUGUACAUGCUUUAUAGAGUAUUGAUUGACUGAUAAUAGCUCUGCAAAUGUACUUUAUAAAGAUAAUAAUAAUAUAAUCUUUGGUUAUAUUUUUAGAUCUGAUAUAUGCAACUGGCAAUUGCUUGUAUAGCUCUGUUUCCUAAGCAUUGACAGGUACCAAUGACCUAAUUUGACCUUGAUAGUUUAAAUGUUUACAGUGCAAGUGUGAAAGGUCUAUUUCGGCACUUUUUAUACAGUAGAACACUAAAAGGCUAUAUGCGAAGCACUAUGGUUGAAGACUACUUAAAUUAAAUGACUUGGCUUGGUCAUGAUGCAAGUUCAUCAGGAAAUUAUUCCUAACAUAGUACUGUAGGAAACAUUAUUGAUAAAUUUUCUGGAACAUGUGGUUAAAGUUAAAUAUCUCAGCUUGCAAAAAGACCACUCUCGCCUCCAAUAGCAAUUAAUAACCUCACUCUUGUACACAACACUGACAGAAAAAACUUCCUGGGGUUUGGUUCUUCAUCAUCAACCAAACUUAGCCUUUCAAGAUCACCACCUUCCCAAAUCCCCCCCCCCCCAAACAUUAUUCAGGCUUUGUAGACAAAAGCUGAUGCCAAAUAUCGGGUCUGAUCUCAUUGGCUUGAGACAGGUCCAUUGCAUCUUGAACCAGUUAAAUUUUUCAACAGACCAGGGCUUGAAAUAACAACUGAUCACCAAUCAAUAAUAGGCAGGAAAUUGCUUAUGAUCGGCGGAAAAGCAUGGUUUGCAACCUGAAAAAGCAGGGAAAGUCAUGACUGCCGAUCACCAUGAUCGGGAACUUUGGGAACAUUAUUUCAGGCCCUGACAGACAAACUCCAUGUUGAUAGUAUGUGACUGUCUAGUGAGUGUAUAAUACAGUAUGUAUAAGCGUAGUAUAGGAAUAAUACAAUACUGUGUUAAAAACCUUGCCAAUUUAAUAUUUCAGAUAACUAGAUAAGUAAAGUAAUAGUCAUUUGUAAUGAAAUAUUUUGUAUUUGAAUUGACUGUGAUUAAAAUAUGUUUAAAAUGCCAGGUAAAAUAAACUUGUUUUCAAUAAAAGUUGGCUUCCACUGAAGCUACAGCUUUGAGGCACCAUUUCACUUGCGAUAUUAUACAUUUUCAUAGCUGGACAGAUAUAUAACAAGAUGAUGAAUUUAAUUAGAUUAGACAUAGCUAGGUUAGUAAUAGGACUGGGGAAGGGGCUAAAGGGA